UUGUUCUUCCAGCAAACUUAGAGAAUUCAUCAAGCAGUAGGAAGACAUCACUAAUGAAGCUAGAAAAAAUUCAGCAAAAUUUAGAGGAAAUUGUGCAACAGAUGCUUCUCUCCCUUGUGUUAGGACUUAGGGUAAAAUCAGCAAAAUAGAGAUUCACAAUUGUGCAUAAUUCCCAGAUUUGUUAGAGGAAACUUAGUAGGUAGAGAUACAGACAUCUCUGUAUUCCAGCUUAUAAAGAGUUGCAGCAUAAUUCUCUUAUAAAAUUAAGUAGGUUGGAACAGCUGAGGCGAGGUGUGGAGGACCACAUGCAUGUGAAAAUCGAAUGAAUCACUAAAAAGACUCAUGGAUGAGUUAAAGAAUAAUUGUGAACGCAUGGAUGAGCUAGAGAGUAAAUAUGAAAAACUUACAAGAGUAUUGCUUGGUCAUCCUUCAGCACCACCAUCAUCAAGUGAUAAAUAGAUGGUCCCAUUCAACAGGAAACACAUAAUUUUCCUUAUAACCUAUAGUUUCUGUUGACUCAAGCAUUUGAAUAUGUUGUUCAAGAAUGUAUGGAGCAAGUUGAAGAUCAAGAGUGCUUUUACUUUGGUUAAGGGUGUCAUUCAAGAAAGUACGGAGAAAGUUGAAAAUCAAGAGCGCUUUUACUUCGGUUAAGGGUGGUCGAAAGACAAUAUUUUGUUUUAUAUAUAUAUGUUGUAACUUUUUUCUUGUUAGGAGUUGAUAAAUAUAUGUCAGACCACUUGAUAUAUCUUUCUUUAUUUAGUUUUUG
rnacentral:misc_RNA from 1 species